UAUCUAGAAUUUUGUGUGUUAACUAAUGAGCAUACUCAUUUUUGGUACUCAAUUCACUUCAACAGGGAGGAGAUGAUGGGUCUAUCACCAACUCACAGGGAGACAUCUCACUUGGCUCCACCUCAGCUGAAGUAGUCAACAACAAUGAGAAGGAGACAUCGCCUCUUGGUGUGCCAGCAUUGGGUGAACUCCAACAGGUGGAUAAAUGCACAACCAAGGAUCGUAAGCUCGAGAUGAGUGAGCCUACUGCUAAGAAGGCCCGCUCCGAUUAGAUGAAUAUGAGAGUAUUUUAAAGUUAUCAUGCUGUCGUUUUUUUCAAAUAAUGGUUUUGUUUUUGGUUGUAAGGUACUUUAACGUUAUCUGGUUUCACUUAUAGUCGUAUCAUAUCAAUGUUUCCUGAUUUAAAAGUCUUAUAGUUUCGUAUUUAAUAAUGUCAAAUCAUCCCCUUGCGCAAGCAAUAUCUCAUGGAUUAACAAAAAUCACUGGAUAUAAUUGAAAUGUGCAUUAUGUUAGUCCAUAUGAAACUAUUUUGAGUUCCUUCAGUCCAUCUUCUUGGUGUAUGUAUAGACAUAGAACAGAAGACCGACAACAUUUUCAUCUUUCAGCAUAACUUCCUCAGCUUAUUCCCUCUCUGUUUUUUCUUCGAGCUCCCCUGUUUUGUCAUGG
rnacentral:lncRNA from 1 species